GAUGAAGAACGCAGCGAAAUGCGAUAAGUAAUGUGAAUUGCAGAAUUCAGUGAAUCAUCGAAUCUUUGAACGCAUCUUGCGCUCCUUGGUAUUCCGAGGAGCAUGCCUGUUUGAGUGUCAUUUAACUUCUCAACCACAUUGGAUAUUUUUUUUCCGAUGCCGGCUUGGAUGUGGGGGUUGUUUGCAGGCUUUUUGUAACAAAAAAGGUCGGCUCCCCUGAAAUGUAUUAGUGGUAUCUGAGGCUAUUACUAUUAGGUGUGAUAAUUAUCUAUGCCGUUUGGGUAUGCCGCAUGAACAGAUUAUGCUGCUUCUAACGAAAACUAUUUUGAUGAAUUUGACCUCAAAUCAGGUAGGACUACCCGCUGAACUUAAGCAUAUCAAUAAGCGGAGGA
rnacentral:misc_RNA from 1 species